AGUCUAUUUCUCUACCGUUAAUUCUUUGUUGUUUGCCAUACCUGAGGUCAAAUGUUUCACCAAAUUACAGUUAGAAUAUUUUUUUUAUAUAAACUUGUCGGAUGUGUUUGUAAACACAUACUUCGCUUAUUCUACGACUUAGUACGACGCUUAUUUUCAAUAUUGGAUAAGCACAUUUAACGUUACUUAACUUAGGUUUGACUUUAGGAUUUCUUACUUUUCUGUUUAUAUUAAUUAAUAUCAACUACUGUUUUCAUCAAUAUUUACUAAAUGUAAAUGGUUACCCGAGAUUAGAUUAAAGAGCUUUAUUUGAAGAAUAUUUUAUGUAUGUAUUUGCGAUUAUUUGAAAGCGUUUAAAUACUUAUGCACGUUAGUGUACGUAAUGAUUCAAACGUAAGACGAAAUACGGACUUUCAACGUUAAUUUCCUUCUUUGAAUGCUAAUUACGUUCUUGGCAGUAUUCUACGAGAAUCGCAAUUGUUUAAGAUAUCGAAGCGUGAUAUUAACAGUGCACAGGAAUUUUUGAGUUCCGAGAUUGAUCGAUACAUAUAUCGAUUAACAUAUUGACGAGAUAACUAAAAACCGAUCAUCUCUAUCGAUCUUCUUAUCGUCAUUUGCAAUCCUCGAGCCGAUUGAAACGUGGGAAGCGACGUCGAGCAAGUUCAAGCGUACAUAAUGUUAUCGGGCUAUUCGAUCGUGCGAGGUUAAAGAAGCAAGGAGAGUCCUAGGUUAGGCUAAUGAGAUCGUAAACCAUAGAAGGUCGGGGUCAUAUGGUCAAUUCUAUUGUCAAUAACAACAAAAGAGGUGAUAACAUAUUAAUAAGCAAUUCAUAUCGAAGGUUAAAGAAAAACAGUAAAUGACGUAAUACAAAUUACUUUAAACACUAAUGACCACUGGCAUGCGAGUACGAUUUUCCAUAAUUAAAAUAAAUUCAUGCAGUUUAGUUAGUGAUUUUAAAAGAAUAAGAAUUUUUUGUAGUUAUUUUAAUUAAUAAUAGUACGAUGUUCGAAAUCAAACUUUUCGAAUUCUCUGCAGAACCUCGAUUUUGUAUUUGGCCAUGAAUGCGUUAAUAUAAUCACUAACGAUAGUAGCGCUGGCCACCCACCUUGCGGCCGUUUUUUUCAAUCUAUUAAAAUUUUAUUGCAUGCAUUGUAAUAAGUUUCUUUAACUACAUAAUUUCGUAUUUCAUGACUUAUUGUAAAUAAUGUUAAAAAGCCACUCUGCUUAAUUCUUCAAAUGAUACGUUUAAUUUUAUUACUUUUUUAAACGAAUCGUACCUGAAACUGGUAUACAGUGGUUCACGGAAGUAUUCUUACACUUCCAAAAACUUUUUAAGUAUGUGCAUACACAUUACACAAAAUAUUUUGAAAUUUCAUUGGCAUCAUUUCAUAACGGGACACGAUUAUCGCGAUGGCACUGAUAAAAUGUGCAACAGAUCUGAAAAUGUAUACAGAUAUUACAAGAUGUUUAUUGGAUGAAUAGUCGAGUAUUCACAUAUUGGUGAGGCACGAUAUAUGUAUAAUGAAAUCUUUAUCAUCUUUAAGACUAACUAUAUUUUUAAGGUUACUAUUCAUACUCUAUACUAACUUUUUCACUAAAUAUAUGUUUGCAACGAAAAUCUUCUAACUCUUUCAUACAUUUUCGGAUCGAUUUCAAAUAUUACUACAAUAAUCCUGAUAGUCGUAUCUCAUUACAGUGCCAACGAAAUUUCAAAUAAUUUCGUAUAAUGCACAUAAUAUAUUCAUAAAAUCGUAAAAUAAAUUCCUUGGUAAGUAUUCGAAUACUUUCGUGAGAUACUAUACAAGAUGAUUUUCAAUGGUUCAUAGAAUCUCCAUCUCGAGUAAAUUGGCGGACAUUGCAAUGUUCAGCCUGCACCGUCUAUCCUAAACUUUUCUUCCCCAUACUCUAGCAUACGGGGCGGGGCCGUUGCAGUGCAUCGAAAGAGAAAUUUUUCCGGCGGUUGUUGGCCCAGCCCCACGACGAACGGAUACUAGGGUGUUUCCCACAUGAAUGGCAGAGCAGUGGAGGCACAUUGCAAGCAAGCUGCAGCGCUGCAGUAGGCCUGUGGGCCAAGGUUCUCUCUCUCUCCCUUUUCUUCCUCUCUUCCGUACUCCUUUCUACUUGCUUUUUGUCUUGGAUAUUCUCUUUAUCUCGACUACUUUUACAGAUGAAAAACUGCUUGCAACCAGCAACGAAUCAACAAUCACGACUAGGUAUUUCAUUAUUAUUUUUGGGAUAUUUUAUUGAACUUUCCCAUAACGUUAUUUUGUUAUUUUUGUGUCUUCGACGUUCAAGUUGCAGUUGCAUUAAAAUAUCAAUAUAUUUUUUAUUGUAGGAAGUUGCAGAAACUUUAAAAUGAGAAGUCACCCAAUCAGCUGAAAUGGCUGUUAGCCAAACCGCCUCAUAUUCCAGUUUUGUUUAAUUGUUUAGCACGAUACGUUUUAUUUCCCGGAUGCAGAUGCACUCGGGGUCCCCUCCAUUCAGCCACUCUUCUAAGAUCUCCCGAAGUUAACAGGCGUGACCCUUUCCCUUCUGGAGUUUUUCAUGCGGACCCACCUGGUCUUUCAUUGGCCAGGGGCUAAAUGAGAAUUUUUCCGAUAUGGCCUGUUGGGCCGGCCCUCUAUUUAUACGUUUCCCCAUCGAUGGUAGCCACGUUGUACUGCCGCUUUUAUCGUUGCAACUUUUCUGUAUCAAACAAAUUUGUUUCCAUUAUUAUUAAUUCUGCAACCUUUCAUCCUCUUUAUAUUUCGAGUAUAUUAUAUUUUAAAAUUUGUAGAUAUGUAAAGCGUUACUCGAUGGAAAAUGCACUGUUACGGGAAAGAAACACGCCAUUUUCUGUCUCUGGUCUGUCUAGCCGAAGAGCAUCGAGUUAUUCUACAUCGGUGGAGGUUCACAAAGCUAUGUAUAUACCUACUAUCGAUGCUGUGCGCAGUGCACAUACCUGCACCGUGGUUACGCAGGUGUGCGUGACCUUUUCUCUUGCCGGGAAUCGCUCAACUUUGCAGAAGAAUCGCAUUUUUCUGCGUAAGCUCGUUUCCCGUGUUCGAUGGCAGGUGCAUUCCUAUACGAUGCGUUUCCAUCCUGAUGUGUCGCUUCCUGUACCAGCUAUAUUUUGUUUUCAUGUGCAAGCUUAUUUUAGUUUUGGAGAUACUUUGCGGUCAAUUUGUAUAUUAGAUGGAGGUUAGAUAAUACUGAAUUCUUAACAAUUAGUAUCGAUAACUUAUAAUUAUUCUUAUUUCAUUUAUAGAAGUCUAUAGUUAACUUAUAACUAUAUCUAUUUUUGCUAAACAACGACUACAGGUUAGAUAAUACUGAAUUCUUAACAAUUAUUAUCGAUAACUUAUAAUUAUUCUUAUUUCAUUUAUAGAAGUCUAUAGUUAACUUAUAACUAUAUCUAUUUUUGCUAAACAACGACUACUAAACAAAGAUCUAAAUAAACUCAAGAGGAAUAUGAUCAUGCAAGAGAAGGAAAGUACAACUGGUCUUCAAACAAAAUUUUCUCAUAAAAAAAGGGGGAGUAGCUGCUGGUAGCCUAGUCGGUACAUUCUGUAUCGCUUUUUUCCGCGUCGUGGCAGCAUAGCGUGCACACAGAGACGGUAGCGGUUGUCUGUAGCUAGGUUGAGGUUGCCGGAGGCCGCUUCUCGUCGUCUCUCGCUCGUCUAGUCGUGGCAAGGUGCAUGCUCGGCAUCGUGCACGCACGAACACGCAGAAAGCAAUCGUUGGAGCAGCGUGUCUGGUAGGUACUAUAGGGGAAACACUGGAGACCAGAUGCAUUCGACCGGUAUUACUGUAUAUAAUACUAAGAUCACUUUUGAAUAAUGCGGAUUUUCUCAGAAGUUGACGGUAUAACCGAGCCAUACUCGAUUCCAUGAGUCACCAUAAAGUUUUAAACUAAGAGAAACUUGAAAAUAUUACGAAGAAUGUCCGCGAUGAAAAAUAAUUGAAAUCUAGAUGACGAAAUUUGGAGGAAAUAUACUAUCAUAGAUGUUGAUGUAUCGGAAAAAGAGUUCUAGAAGGUUAAAGCAGCAAAAAGAAUGGCCGAAAUGCAGUAGUAGAAAGGAAUGCCCGUGCGAAGCGGAGAUCCGACAUGCGAUGAAACCGGCCCUGGGAGCGCACAAAGCCGCGGGGGCGUUCAUUUUACGCAUCGACAGUAAUGAUGACGUUUUGUGAGCGCAAAAGUACAAAUGCGCCUUAUUCCACUUUGGUCUAAUCUAACAUAUCCUUGUUCUCCUUUUAUUUUUAGACCAGCUUGGAACUUCCACUAACAAAAUAAUACCAACCUAACCUAUACGAACAAGUUCGAAAAUCGUGCAAUUUGAGGAGAAUCAUCAGGCGAAUAUUUAAGAGAGAUAUUGGAAACUGGUCGAAGAAGGGAGACAGAGAGGUUCCUUUACGUCCGCGGGGCUUCGGUGUCAACAGGUUUUAUUUUUGCCCCGCGAAAAGGCCAAGGUCCUCUCCUGCCCCUACCGUGCAUACCCGCCAACAGUCCCCUGCCCGCACGCCGCCCCUUUUCCCUUCUUUCCAUCCGGAUCCCCACCAUCGGCAUCGUCGACGUGUCCUCGAUAGGUGGGGAGGCUCCUGGGGGAUGCUAUGAAGAACCUUCUGGAUUAAUACCCGCACCUCAGGAGAAUUUGCUCCACAACUCUGUUCUAAAGGUUCUAUGAAGCCAGUACUUUGAUAACACAACAAUUUCCUGUAAAGGAUAUAUCUACUUAUGGAAUAUUUCUUUGUUAAUUAUUUUAAAGUAACUAAGGGUCUAGAAGAGCGAUAGUCUGCGUUUGUAGUUUCGUCGUACAUAUAAAUUCCAGGAGGAAAUGCACAGGCAAUCGGCCGCAAUUGGGGUGAUACAGGCAGAGUGCGACUGAGGGAGAGAGAGAGAGAUAGAGAGAGAAAUCGAAAAAAAUAGCGGCUAGGGAAUGGAGUAGAUGACGGAGAGAAAAAGAACGACAGAAAACACACGAAAUAUAGGGGUAUAUGACAAAGAGGAAGCAAAAGGCGGGGAGGCGGGCAGAGAAGCAGAAAGAAAGAAAAAGAUGAAAAAUGAAACGGAAAGAGAACAAGCAGUCUAGCCCUGUAUAUGUGGAUGGAUGUGUUUGAGAGGGAGAGUCGAAGGGGACGAAGGAGCAUGAGAUGUAGCAGUGAUAGAGAUCCAAAAUCAAAGUUUUCCAAGAGACACAACCUAGAUCAUCGAAAAAUUCCAAACCAUAUUAAAUUUUGAGAUCUAGCCACGAGUCGGAAUCAUUUUUUCCAUCAAAAAUUGUUCAGAAACUCGACGCAGAGAGAGAAACGAGUGUCCAUCACUAGACUGGAGGUUCAGUUGAAGCAAGAAGAACAAGAAGAACCAGGGAGUGCAUUGAACAAGGACAGGUAGACAAUCAAAAGGAGAGGGGAUCAAGUCGUCGUGGUGAGCAGGGGAAGGGUUUUAGGGGGGAGGGAGUAGAGUGCAGCGGCCUGGUUGCCUAUACUCCGCGUGACUAUAGGUAGUCCGGCUAGGCUAGAGUCCGCGUAUAAUGUAUUCUCGAAUAUCGUGCACUCUCUCGUGAUCAAUAUAAGCUCCGACGGGGGCCGGAGAUGCACGAAGAUCCACCUCCUCCUUCCUCGACCCGCCCGGACGAUGUUUUUUCGUGCGGAGUGCAACGCACGCUGGAUCGCGAGAACUGCACUCGCUCUCCCCCUCUCCACGACUCUUUAUUUCUCUCUCUCUUUCUCUUCUAUAAGGGCUGUCUGUUCUUGUUCGAUACUUACCGACUCGCUCUGCUCUUUCAUCCUCGAUUAUAUAUCCGUGACAGUGUCGAAGCGGCUUGAAGAGGGGAGAGAAAGAACGAAUAUUAUAAUCUUGGGAAUUAUUUAAGUUCUCUCGUUAGAGGGAACUCAUGUUUCUACAGUUAAUGAAUGAUCAGAUACGAUGCUAUGUGGUAGGUGUUGCAUAGGUAACAUUGCGAUUAAAAUGGCACAAAUGUGGCAGCCAUAUUGCCUGGUAGAAGAUUAUAAAUUUGUAAGUUUUGGUAGAAUUUGUUGAUCAAUUUUCAAUCGCUUUUUGAGAACAAUAUGUUUUAUCUUGAAUCUAAUUACCGAGGUGUUUGAAAUAGGCGUGAAAUACCGAAUGGCUGGAAUACUGGUGGAAGGUGGCAGCGAAGCGUGAUGGACGAAAUCUUCUCGGCUCGAUUGAGCGAUAUUCACUCAUAUGAAUUAAAGUUUAAGCUUGCACACCUUCACCGACACUUGGCUCCUCUGCUUAUUGACUCCUGCUGCCUCUCCGCGGCCCCUUGAUCAAUCUUUCGAGAGUAAUGAAGCCUGUGACGACAAAUAUUUAACAUACUGGGGGCCGAGCCUCUUAGAACCGCUUUGUGAUACUUCAUCUAUGAUCUUUGCGUCAAUUAAUUUUUUGUUCCGAUUUAAUCUUCGAUCGAAGAAGCUCAAUGAACAGAAGUCAGGGUAUCGUAUGUAUAUUGUAAAUUUUAUGGGAACAAGAUAUUCGAUCGAGGCCAAUACUCUUACGUGCAAUUAUUCAUACUGUUGUUGCUACUACAAACAAGUCUAGUAAUCCGAUGGAUGUUUCUUUUCAAUCUCAGCCGGUUUCUUUCCCUUUUCAAGAAAUACGAGGGUAAAAAAGAGAGACAAAAGGGCAUGCACGGAAGGAAGGAAGAAGAUAAAGAUUGAGAGGCAGACUGACCGGAGGAAGAAAAUUGGUAGAGGCAGGCUCGUGUACGUUCCAGAAAACUGGCCGCCAUGUCGGCCUCCACCACCCCCACUACAUACCUAUAUGCAGCCAGCAGCACGAGAUAUCGUCCAUUGCACUUUUCAAGCUUUCAUGUGAACGCACUAUACAUGUAUACGCAUGUGCUUCUGCCUAUGUGGACAGGCGGCAAGCUCACACGUAUCCAGCGGUAGCUCCCCGUAAGAGGAGAGGCUGGUCCGCUCAGUGCACAGGAAAAUAAAAUCAUCCGGUGACAUUUUACUGUUACAUCAGUCCAACAUGAAAUACAUAUUACGAAUGUUACAAGAUCUGCAUAUCUGUUAGUAUAGCGGGGAAUUAAUCCCCAAGGUAUAAGUAUUCUUCGUCAUUAUGCACUCUAAGUAUGAGGGUAUAGAAUAUAAUGCUUGAUUUAUCUUUCUUAUAGGGAAUUGAAAUGAUUGAAAUAGAGGUAAUAGAGGUACAUAGAAAAGGACUGACAUAGUAGCACAUCCUAGUUUAUCAAUAUUUAAUAUUUUUACUACUGGUAAAGCUCAAAGAUGAUAACUUACAGUCUUGUACAAUCACUCAAUACUGGACCUUUCAAAAGCGGUUCUCCGAUUCUCCUUGAAAGAGUAACACAUAUAUCGUUCGUCACAGGGAAAUAUAAAGGGUAAAAUCAUCAGUAAAAAUUAAACAGAAUCAGAAGGAUGUCGCAGGUGGUAUUUUCGCUGCACGCUGGCUGAUUUUCUAAGUCGACCUUAGGCGGGAUAAAAGGGGGAGGGGGCUGUCUCCCACUCAAUUGCAACGAGCUGGCAACGCUAUUGGCAAGUGGCAACGCUGGCCGACUGCACGAGGGAGGGGUAAGAGUGAAACUAUAGUAAUGUGGAGUGGGGUCGAUGGUCCCCCACUGGUUACGCCACUGGCACUGAAUUUCGCACGGUCUAAACGGAGAGUUGACUGAGAGGAACAGAGACGGAACACGACAGACCACCGACUGCAAGAGGGUGAGAGGGCAAAGACCAGACGGAGAAAGAAAAAGGGAGAGAAAUAGAGAGAAGAGGCAGCCAUGUGCGUCUCCGAGCAGCCUCGAAGCUCUCUGCAACUAUACGAACGUUCGGCUUCGUUCCCGUUCUCCUUCGCGCCGAAUUCGUGCUAGCGUAGAUAUGAAAUCUGGGAAGGUUUGUCACUGGAGUAUGUUGCAUCACACAAGGACCAAUGAAAUUCCCGGUGCAUCAAAUAAGCGGCAUCCUUUUCUCUCCGCUCCUCGAGCUCCCAAUGAAAAAGAUGAUGCGAGGGCCGAUGCGUGUGGAACACGAAGUGCAGCCGGGACCGUGGUUGAUCGUUGUCGGGGAGCAAAGGUGCAAGCUUGAUAGUCCGCCGUUCCGUUCGUUCCGCCGUUCCUCCCGUCCGGGUUCCACCGUCCAUGUCUCGGUUCGUUCGCUGGUUCAGCUGGCGUCCCACGGCACGCAGUCUGUCGCUGUCACCGACGAAGCUCGCUUCUUGUAUAGCCGUAUGCCCGAACAACCAGUACGUGUUCCUCCAUCCGACGUUUUCCGUCGUUUCUUUAUUUUUAAAUAUGUCUACGUAGAAUUUCUUUGUGCUAUUUCAAGUCCCUUUUCUACUAAUCUUCUGAAAAAAGCACGGUGUUUUAACGAGUGAAUUUCAGUCCCCUCCCGCGGUUAUUUAACAUGGUUACGUAUUUUCAGAAACACUUCCGGUAGAGGAAACUCGAUUAUCGGAUACCAACUGUCAAAGUUCUUCGAAAGUUUCAAUCAUUUUCUAGGGGAAUUCUAGUUUUUUGAGAUUAUUCUGAAAGUAUGGUGAAUUUAAGCUCGAGAAUAUUCUUGGAUACGAUUUUCCCUGAAAUCGGUCGCGCGAAUCGCGAUUGUGACCGUGACUGGAAGGUGACAUGGUAUCUUCCCAUGAGUGACGCGGGUGUCCAGUAAAGUGGCAAGUGUUUUCUUCUCUCUCCUUGGAUCUGGAGACAUCGGUUUUUCCCCGGUUAAUUGUGCUGUGUGACGGGUGUGUGCGUGCAGUGUGUCCACACAGUGUAUGGUCGACGUGGUGAAGAUUCAGGCGAGUCCUUAUGUAGCUCUGGAAUAUCUGGUGUAAUCGAUGAGGAUAAUUGUAGGAGAUGUGCUGCAGGCAGAAUCUAUUAUUUCAUAGGAGGAGACCAAGGAUGAACCGAUUGCCGAGGAAUCAAGAGAGGAGUGCAGCUUUUCGUGUAGCGUACAUAAUUCCCGCUCGACUACUCCUGCAUCCAGGUCCUUCGCCGUCUUCCAGACCUUAAGAUCCGUUCACAACGAACAAUCUCAACUUCCCUGUGUUUCUUUCCCCCAAGGAAACUUGGAACUUUGAGAUUUACAAUUCAAAUCUACGGUGAAUUUGUCUUUAAAUGAGAUCCAAGGUCCAGGUUGUAAAACGUAAUCAGUCAGUUGGAAACGGUGCCUAACAUCCCUUAGGGCUGCGUGAGGAGAUGGCAGAGGCCAUUCAACUGUCUACGAGGCAGCAGGCAGGGGAUUUUUACAACGCCCGGACUCUCUACCUACUCUCCUAUAUUCUUCUUGCUCUUCUUUCCUCUCUCCAUCUUCUUCGUCCUCUUCUUCGUCUUGUUUCUUGUAGGAUAGCCCCGGCCCUCUUUUUCUAUGCUCUCCUGAUCUCUCUACCAGGCAAUGGCGCAGUAAACCGGGGGCCUACGCAUGCAGUCGCAGUAUUUAUCCACGGACAGUAGGAAGCAGUGAAAGGAAGCUGGGAGCACAUGGCGGAACGAUCCAGUGAUAGCUGUUAUCAGCUAUACUUGAUGAUACUAACCCGUAGAUCCGAACUUGUGGGCUUUUUUAUAUGUAUACCGCAAGCUCCUAUCUACCGGUACAUGUAGUCAGGCCAGCAUUUAAGCAUUUCGACGGAACCUCCUCCUUCUCCUUCACACACCCCUCUGCUCUCCUGAAAGCCCGCAGCACUUUCGGUUAUCAACGCGUGCAUUUUUUGCCAAGUAAUUUUCUCGAUUGUAUGAAAAGAAGUGAGAAAAGGCGUGUGUGACGAAUGAAAGUAGGGAUGAAAAGAGCAGUAUCUACCGUUCUGUCAUUUCCGGUUUACUGACCAAUUAAUUACGAAUAGUAAUGUAACAAUAGAAGCGUCGUAAGUCUUGAAACACAAAACAUGAAUGUACUUACUUUGAUCGAAGCUGAUUUCGUCAAACCCAUGUUCUGAGAUUAGAUAGAAUAUGCAAUUUGUU
rnacentral:lncRNA from 1 species